AGUGAACGCUGGCGGUAGGCCUAACACAUGCAAGUCGAACGGCAGCACAGUAAGAGCUUGCUCUUACGGGUGGCGAGUGGCGGACGGGUGAGGAAUACAUCGGAAUCUACUUUUUCGUGGGGGAUAACGUAGGGAAACUUACGCUAAUACCGCAUACGACCUACGGGUGAAUGCAGGGGAUCUUCGGACCUUGCGCGAUUGAAUGAGCCGAUGUCGGAUUAGCUAGUUGGCGGGGUAAAGGCCCACCAAGGCGACGAUCCGUAGCUGGUCUGAGAGGAUGAUCAGCCACACUGGAACUGAGACACGGUCCAGACUCCUACGAGAGGCAGCAGUGGGGAAUAUUGGACAAUGGGCGCAAGCCUGAUCCAGCCAUACCGCGUGGGUGAAGAAGGCCUUCGGGUUGUAAAGCCCUUUUGUUGGGAAAGAAAAGCAGCAGGUUAAUACCCCGCUGUUCUGACGGUACCCAAAGAAUAAGCACCGGCUAACUUCGUG
rnacentral:rRNA from 1 species